ensembl:lncRNA
GUUGAUGGGUUCAGCCAGCCGUGACACGUUGUAUUGUCUACGUCUAUGGUUGAUUACUAUUAUAUUUAUUAAUGCAAAACAUCCGAAUAUUAUGAAGAAGUGAGUUUGCUCCAUUAUGACAAGAUGACAGCAUGUGAUACAAAGUAGGAUGUCGUUUAUCUCCAAACCCGAGGCGUAAAAACAUGCAUUAUGUUGCCCCAUAUGUGGAUUGAUCCGUGAGUGUGCAAUACAGGACACACUGUUGAGGUUCUGAGUUAAAGAGUGUGUGUGUGUGUGUGUGUGUGUGUGUCUGGCAUGGCGCACAGUGUCAUCUGACUGUGACCUUGUAUUUCAUCUACUAGUCAAGCGAAAAGCAUGUAAUGAUUUACACUGUAGGACAAAUCCAAUAGAGGCAUUUGGACACGUCACAUAAAAGUAGGAUUACAACCACAUAUGGCUGAUUAAAAAGGGAAUCCCAUCAAGUCAGUGAUCUCCGAUAGGACAUGAUGCGUGGACACACACUGGUCAUAGCAUAUAGCGCGUAUUUGGAUUAUGUUAUAUAUAUUUUCAUUUAUUUCUUUAAAUCUCUAUGCACCCGUUGUUGUUUUUUCUCUUCUUCUUCCCUUUUCAGACCUCAGUUAUAAAUCUAUUCUCACUUUAACUAACUUUCUUAUCUGUCUUUCAGUAGAAAGUACUUUCAUAGCAACCAUCAACAAUAGAACUUGCCUUACGUUUUGAAUCACUCGUCUCCACGUGCAUCGUCUCAAUGAAUAAAUCAAAGGAUUCAGUGACACAAUGAGCUGGAUGCACUAGCUUCAUUAUUCAGGGUCAUCAGUAAGAUGCUUCCACAUGAUGCCACCCUGCACUGUAGCAUGUAGCAUUACUGUCAUAUAUAAAAUAAAGGUUAAUCAUUCUUUAAGCGUUAGCAGCAGAUUGUCAUCAGAUUAAAAGUCAUUACAUCAAGAAUCCUGAUUGGUUUGAUUUGAUUUCCCAACUGACGGGCAAAUCUGUGGUUUGCUUCCCACAAGUGACGUCUCCCUCUCGUCCUGUUCAUCCAUCUGUCUGUCUGAAUCCCUCUCUAAUCUGUAGGCCUCGUGCAGGGUGACUGUGUGUGUGUGUGUGUGUGUGCUGCCAGAUGUGAUCUGCUGCACAGUCACUGGAACCUUCCCUCACUCGCACAGACACACAAAUGACAUAACAGUCAGUCGAUGUUUGACAUCCUGAGUCAAACUAUGUACGUAGUGAGCUUGAAUAUCAUCCCACCAGGCAGAGACAUCUUUCAGUUUAGGCAACCAUUUCAUUUGGAUUUGGAAAGAAGAAAUCCUAGUUUGGGGUGAUAAAUAAUAAACAAAAGUAUCUUUGGUACAUCACGUGACUAAACAAGUUCUUAGACAUAAGUCAGAGAUCCACGUUUCCUUGCUUGACCCACUUCACUCCUGGACUUUGGUUACAACGCAGUUCUUUUAAUCUGUUUUAUAAUGUUUGUGUCUACCACAACAAAGGACCUCUGUUGACUUUCCAUCGGAUCUUCUCUGAUGAAUUCUGUGUUAUGGAAACGUUUGUGUUCCUGACCUUAGUUUGGACAUCAAACUAGACGGUUCAAGACACAACCGGAAGUAAAACACAUGUUUUUUCAUCUUAGUGUUUCCAAACUAAUGAAGAGACCCGAACGUACGGUAGUCGGCACGACAGACAAAUGGCUAUUGGAUCCUGUUUGACCCGUGUGGUGCAUUUUACAUCGUUGCAUAACUGUCAAAAACAUGAUCCCCUAAGUUCUAUUCUGUUGGGAAAAGACCGCUGCAGAUUUUAGGGAAUCGACUCUUCCACUAAGAAGCUGCGUAGUUCUGAUGCAACGUGAGACGCAAGUCAGUGACGUCAGUCUGCAGCGGAGAAACUACAGUGUCUCCAAAGACGGACCACAAAGAAGCAUCUUAGACGCCUUCAUGAGUUCUUACAGAGCUGAGUCAUGCAGACGACACAAACGACCAGGUUUCAAGUAUUACUUUAUUAUAAAUGAGUUAUUCAUAAGGGUUACUCACAUGAUCUGCGUUUCUCAGUCAUGAUUGUUAUUUCUUGUGAAGGGCCGAAUAAUACGUUACUAUUUAAAUAUUGCCGCAGAAAGCAAUUUGUGGGAUGGAAUAAUCUCCUUUCCUUUUUGGAUGGAUGGUCCAGUGGUUCCUACGCUAAAGUAGCCUCCUUUCCUCAGUAUAUAUCAAACAGCUCUUAUCGUGGCGGCCACAAUGAGCCUUCCGGGUCAUUUCACUCGGUUAGGAACCUUCCAAAGCAAAUUCGACAAUUCAAAUCGAGCGAAUAUGUACGUUUCAAUCCAGAAUGUAGGCAUCCUACAACGGGUCACAUCCCGGCCUUGGCCCAAGUCAAGGUGUUGUUGGUUAGACCACAUUGUGUGGGUAGAGAAACAGAUGAUAACAAAUUUAGGACAUAGUAGGACUUUAUUUUACAUGCAAGAUCAUCUUUUACUAUUAACCUGCGUCAUGUGGGUAAUUCAUGGAUCAAUGAAACUGGACAUACUUUUUCCAAAAUACGGUCCCAUCGGCGACACCGGAAGGGGCGGAACCCUCCCUGUCUAUUCCUGAAAUACUGGUAAAUUUAGUGAACGUUACAUCUCCAGAGAGAGAGAGAGAGAGAGAGAGAGAGAGAGAGAGAGAGAGAGAGAGAGAGG